GAUGAACGCUGGCGGCGUGCCUAAUACAUGCAAGUCGAGCGAACGGACGAGAAGCUUGCUUCUCUGAUGUUAGCGGCGGACGGGUGAGUAACACGUGGAUAACCUACCUAUAAGACUGGGAUAACUUCGGGAAACCGGAGCUAAUACCGGAUAAUAUUUUGAUCCGCAUGGUUCAAAAGUGAAAGACGGUCUUGCUGUCACUUAUAGAUGGAUCCGCGCUGCAUUAGCUAGUUGGUAAGGUAACGGCUUACCAAGGCAACGAUGCAUAGCCGACCUGAGAGAGUGAUCGGCCACACGGGAACUUAGACACGGUCCAGACUCCUACGGGAGGCAGCAGUAGGGAAUCGUCCGCAAUGGGCGAAAGCCUGACGGAGCAACGCCGCGUGAGUGAUGAAGGUCUUCGGAUCGUAAAACUCUGUUAUUAGGGAAGAACAUAUGUGUAAGUAACUGUGCACAUCUUGACGGUACCUAAUCAGAAAGCCACGGCUAACUACGUG
rnacentral:rRNA from 1 species